rnacentral:rRNA from 1 species
GAGUUUGAUCAUGGCUCAGAUUGAACGCUGGCGGCAUGCCUAACACAUGCAAGUCGAACGAGGGUAGCAAUACCUUAGUGGCGGACGGGUGAGGAAUACGUAGGAAUUUGCCCUUAAGUGGGGGAUAGCCCGGGGAAACCCGGAUUAAUACCGCAUGAUCUCGAAAGAGCAAAGUGGGGGAUCGCAAGACCUCACGCUUUUGGAGAAGCCUACGUCGGAUUAGCUAGUUGGUGAGGUAAUGGCUCACCAAGGCGACGAUCCGUAACUGGUCUGAGAGAAUGAUCAGUCACACCGGAACUGAGACACGGUCCGGACUCCUACGGGAGGCAGCAGUGGGGAAUAUUGGACAAUGGGCGAAAGCCUGAUCCAGCAAUGCCGCGUGUGUGAAGAAGGCCUUCGGGUUGUAAAGCACUUUAAGUUGGGAAGAAAAAACUCGCUCUAACACAGUGAGUCUUGACGGUACCGACAGAAUAAGCACCGGCUAACUCUGUGCCAGCAGCCGCGGUAAUACG